rnacentral:misc_RNA from 1 species
UCUCCGUAGGUGAACCUGCGGAGGGAUCAUUACAGAGUUCAUGCCCUACCGGGUAGAUCUCCCACCCUAUGUUAUUAUUACUUUGUUGCUUUGGCGGCCCGGGCCCCGCGCCCGGCGCCCCCCGGCCCCCCGUGGGCGCCCGCCGGAGGUAAACCAAACCCUUGAAUUGCAUGGCCUCUCUGAGUCUUCUGUACUGAAUAAGUCAAAACUUUCAACAACGGAUCUCUUGGUUCUG